rnacentral:rRNA from 1 species
GUUAAGCGACUAAGCGUACACGGUGGAUGCCCUGGCAGUCAGAGGCGAUGAAGGACGUGCUAAUCUGCGAUAAGCGUCGGUGAGGUGAUAUGAACCGUUAUAACCGGCGAUUUCCGAAUGGGGAAACCCAGUGUGUUUCGACACACUAUCAUUAACUGAAUCCAUAGGUUAAUGAGGCGAACCGGGGGAACUGAAACAUCUAAGUACCCCGAGGAAAAGAAAUCAACCGAGAUUCCCCCAGUAGCGGCGAGCGAACGGGGAGGAGCCCAGAGCCUGAAUCAGUGUGUGUGUUAGUGGAAGCGUCUGGAAAGGCGCGCGAUACAGGGUGACAGCCCCGUACACAAAAAUGCACAUAUUGUGAGCUCGAUGAGUAGGGCGGGACACGUGGUAUCCUGUCUGAAUAUGGGGGACCAUCCUCCAAGGCUAAAUACUCCUGACUGACCGAUAGUGAACCAGUACCGUGAGGGAAAGGCGAAAAGAACCCCGGCGAGGGGAGUGAAAAAGAACCUGAAACCGUGUACGUACAAGCAGUGGGAGCCUCUUUAUGGGGUGACUGCGUACCUUUUGUAUAAUGGGUCAGCGACUUAUAUUCUGUAGCAAGGUUAACCGAAUAGGGGAGCCGAAGGGAAACCGAGUCUUAACUGGGCGUUAAGUUGCAGGGUAUAGACCCGAAACCCGGUGAUCUAGCCAUGGGCAGGUUGAAGGUUGGGUAACACUAACUGGAGGACCGAACCGACUAAUGUUGAAAAAUUAGCGGAUGACUUGUGGCUGGGGGUGAAAGGCCAAUCAAACCGGGAGAUAGCUGGUUCUCCCCGAAAGCUAUUUAGGUAGCGCCUCGUGAAUUCAUCUCCGGGGGUAGAGCACUGUUUCGGCAAGGGGGUCAUCCCGACUUACCAACCCGAUGCAAACUGCGAAUACCGGAGAAUGUUAUCACGGGAGACACACGGCGGGUGCUAACGUCCGUCGUGAAGAGGGAAACAACCCAGACCGCCAGCUAAGGUCCCAAAGUCAUGGUUAAGUGGGAAACGAUGUGGGAAGGCCCAGACAGCCAGGAUGUUGGCUUAGAAGCAGCCAUCAUUUAAAGAAAGCGUAAUAGCUCACUGGUCGAGUCGGCCUGCGCGGAAGAUGUAACGGGGCUAAACCAUGCACCGAAGCUGCGGCAGCGACACUAUGUGUUGUUGGGUAGGGGAGCGUUCUGUAAGCCUGUGAAGGUGGCCUGUGAGGGUUGCUGGAGGUAUCAGAAGUGCGAAUGCUGACAUAAGUAACGAUAAAGCGGGUGAAAAGCCCGCUCGCCGGAAGACCAAGGGUUCCUGUCCAACGUUAAUCGGGGCAGGGUGAGUCGACCCCUAAGGCGAGGCCGAAAGGCGUAGUCGAUGGGAAACAGGUUAAUAUUCCUGUACUUGGUGUUACUGCGAAGGGGGGACGGAGAAGGCUAUGUUGGCCGGGCGACGGUUGUCCCGGUUUAAGCGUGUAGGCUGGUUUUCCAGGCAAAUCCGGAAAACCAAGGCUGAGGCGUGAUGACGAGGCACUACGGUGCUGAAGCGACAAAUGCCCUGCUUCCAGGAAAAGCCUCUAAGCAUCAGGUAACAUCAAAUCGUACCCCAAACCGACACAGGUGGUCAGGUAGAGAAUACCAAGGCGCUUGAGAGAACUCGGGUGAAGGAACUAGGCAAAAUGGUGCCGUAACUUCGGGAGAAGGCACGCUGAUAUGUAGGUGAAGCGACUUGCUCGUGGAGCUGAAAUCAGUCGAAGAUACCAGCUGGCUGCAACUGUUUAUUAAAAACACAGCACUGUGCAAACACGAAAGUGGACGUAUACGGUGUGACGCCUGCCCGGUGCCGGAAGGUUAAUUGAUGGGGUUAGCGGUAACGCGAAGCUCUUGAUCGAAGCCCCGGUAAACGGCGGCCGUAACUAUAACGGUCCUAAGGUAGCGAAAUUCCUUGUCGGGUAAGUUCCGACCUGCACGAAUGGCGUAAUGAUGGCCAGGCUGUCUCCACCCGAGACUCAGUGAAAUUGAACUCGCUGUGAAGAUGCAGUGUACCCGCGGCAAGACGGAAAGACCCCGUGAACCUUUACUAUAGCUUGACACUGAACAUUGAGCCUUGAUGUGUAGGAUAGGUGGGAGGCUUUGAAGUGUGGACGCCAGUCUGCAUGGAGCCGACCUUGAAAUACCACCCUUUAAUGUUUGAUGUUCUAACGUUGGCCCGUAAUCCGGGUUGCGGACAGUGUCUGGUGGGUAGUUUGACUGGGGCGGUCUCCUCCUAAAGAGUAACGGAGGAGCACGAAGGUUGGCUAAUCCUGGUCGGACAUCAGGAGGUUAGUGCAAUGGCAUAAGCCAGCUUGACUGCGAGCGUGACGGCGCGAGCAGGUGCGAAAGCAGGUCAUAGUGAUCCGGUGGUUCUGAAUGGAAGGGCCAUCGCUCAACGGAUAAAAGGUACUCCGGGGAUAACAGGCUGAUACCGCCCAAGAGUUCAUAUCGACGGCGGUGUUUGGCACCUCGAUGUCGGCUCAUCACAUCCUGGGGCUGAAGUAGGUCCCAAGGGUAUGGCUGUUCGCCAUUUAAAGUGGUACGCGAGCUGGGUUUAGAACGUCGUGAGACAGUUCGGUCCCUAUCUGCCGUGGGCGCUGGAGAACUGAGGGGGGCUGCUCCUAGUACGAGAGGACCGGAGUGGACGCAUCACUGGUGUUCGGGUUGUCAUGCCAAUGGCACUGCCCGGUAGCUAAAUGCGGAAGAGAUAAGUGCUGAAAGCAUCUAAGCACGAAACUUGCCCCGAGAUGAGUUCUCCCUGACUCCUUGAGAGUCCUGAAGGAACGUUGAAGACGACGACGUUGAUAGGCCGGGUGUGUAAGCGCAGCGAUGCGUUGAGCUAACCGGUACUAAUGAACCGUGAGGCUUAACC